UGGUGGCGAUAGCGAAGAGGUCACACCCGUUCCCAUACCGAACACGGAAGUUAAGCUCUUCAGCGCCGAUGGUAGUUGGGGGCUUCCCCCUGUGAGAGUAGGACGCUGCCAAGCC
rnacentral:rRNA from 1 species